rnacentral:rRNA from 1 species
UACGUAGGGGGCAAGCGUUGUCCGGAAUCAUUGGGCGUAAAGCGCGUGUAGGCGGCUCGAUAAGUCUGCUGUGAAAGUUCAGGGCUCAACCCUGAAAUGCCGGUGGAAACUGUCGGGCUAGAGUCCGGAAGAGGCGAGUGGAAUUCCUGGUGUAGCGGUGAAAUGCGCAGAUAUCAGGAGGAACACCGGUGGCGAAGGCGGGUCUCUGGGCCGAUAUUGACGCUGAGGAGCGAAAGCGUGGGGAGCAAACAGG